rnacentral:rRNA from 1 species
UAAGACUGGGAUAACUCCGGGAAACCGGGGCUAAUACCGGAUAACAUUUUGAACCGCAUGGUUCGAAAUUGAAAGGUGGCUUCGGCUGCCACUUAUGGAUGGACCCGCGUCGCAUUAGCUAGUUGGUGAGGUAACGGCUCACCAAGGCAAUGAUGCGUAGCCGACCUGAGAGGGUGAUCGGCCACACUGGGACUGAGACACGGCCCAGACUCCUACGGGAGGCAGCA